UCAGGACAGCUGGGGCUUCUGCGGGCGUAUUUUGUUUGCUCAAAUGACUUCAAUGCCCUGAGCAGUUCCUGAAACAAAAGCUGGGUGCUCUAUAAUAUUUGAGUGAAUGAAGACAAUGUUUAAGUGCUUCAUGUAUAUUAACAUUUCAUUUUUUUGACAGUCUGUAAAGUCAGCUGAUUUGCUAUUCCUGUUUACAGAGAAGAAUACUGACAUUAUACAUAGUGGAACCAGGAUUUAAACUCAAACACUUGAACUUGUCCUCUGGCUCCAGAGCCCACGCGUUUAACAAUAACACUAUACUGCCAUUCAUUUUUAGGGACCCUGUCACUAACAAAGAGAUAGUCCCAAGGCUGAUUCAGAAGCUUAUCGUCCCAAAGUCUGUUGCCAUUUAUCUUUUUGUGGUCACUUGUUCCUAACACACUGUAGGAUUUGUUAUGCCACAGCAGAAGUCCCAGGGGCAGGAGUCACAGGUACUCACUGUCAGCGGGCAGAGCAUCCCCUCUCUCCUAAACUGGCCUAUAGAGCAGAGGUAGGGAACAAAAGAGGGACAGCCAGCCCGUCACUCAGGGCUCAUGAGGGAACGAGGCGCCGCCAGUCCUUACCCGAUCAUCUAAUUGGGUUAAGUCCUAUAGUUUCCACAAUCAAAAGAAUGAUUCUCAUGAUUCCAGAUUGCAGAAGAUCAAUAAAGACAGGACCACCAAAAGUGCCCCUGCUCACCCAACAAAAACAUUAACAUCUACCUCGCAGACCUUUUGCUAUGCCAGGCUUCUGCACUGGGUCAGCUCUGGCUUCUCCAUGGGAAUGGCUGUUCUGGUUAGAUCAUCAUAUUGUGAGAAGAAAAUGUGACUUUAUGUUGUUUAUUUUUCCUAAUCUUCCACAGCAACCAUUUGAUCUCAUUUGUGAAUCUAGUGAAAAGGAGGUUGAUGCUUCUCAAUUUUGAAUUGUCUGAUGUUUCCUCAUUACUGAACUGGAGUUGUGAAUGGUUUUUUUUAAGACUUCUACAAAGACAAAGCGUCCUUCUCACUGCAUCAUAUCAGCAGACUCCAUUCUUUGGAAGUGAGUCAUUGAGUCUAGCCCACACUAAAGAGGAAAGGAAUUAAACCUCACCUCCAGAAGGGAACGUACCUACAUGUGUUAUUUGGAAUUCCUCUCUAAAGACGAUGUGACCCUUCUCCUUAAGGUGGAUUCUCUACCGCUGUGCCACCUGGGAAGCCAACUGGAUCUUCUCUCAAGUAUGUUUAAUCCAACUCAGAGGGUUGGAAAGUAACUCCAGGUGAGUUCAUGGAUCUACGGAGCCUACUACUUGAUCUACAAAUUUCUGAGAGAAGUAUACUGAAAUCUCUCAUUAUGGACUGUGAAUUUUCCUAUUUCCCUUUGUAGCUCUGUCAAAAUUUGAUUUAUAUACUUUGAAGUUGUUAGAUAUAUAAAGUAUGAGUGGUGACUGCAUCUCAGGGGAAUUGAAUUUUUAUCAUUGCAAUAAAUUAUUAAGUAAUUUGAAAUAAAUAUAUUAAUAACAAUAACUUUCCUUUGGUUUAUAUUGCCUGAUGUGUAUUUUCCAUCAUUUUUUUCUGGCUUUCCUUAUUUUUAUGUAUGUCAUGUAAAAAUUACAAUUGGAAAGUAUAAUUGGAUUUCCUUUUGUUUUUUUAACUUUUUAAAUUUUUUGCUGUGCUGGGUCUUAAUCGUGGCACUCGGGUUCUUCAUUGCCAUGUGUGGGCUUAGUUGCCCCUGAAGCGUGUGGGAUCUUAGUUCCCAGGACAGGGACUGACCUUGUGUCCCCUGCAUUGGAAGGCAGAUUCUAAACCACUGGACCACAGAGAAGUCCCCCUAGUGGAAUUUGUCUUUAAAAUCCAGUGUGACUCAAAAGAGUUAUAUAUGGGUUCAUCUCUACUUUCUAUCUGUCCCACAGUGUUCUCUUCCUUUUCUUUUUCCUUGACCUCUUUUUUGUUUUGAACUUUUUCUUCUUUCUUUAAUCCAUUUUUCUCUAUUAAUCUGAAAGUUAUAUCCUUCAAUUUUGGCUUUCCAGGUGGCUUGGUGGUAAAGAAUCUGCCUGCCAAUGAAGGAGAUGUGGGUUCAAUCCCUGGGUCAGAAAGAUCCCCUGGAGAAGAAAAUGGCAACCCAUUCUAGUAUUCUUGC